UACGGCCACAUCACGUUGAAACAUCGGUUCCUCUAUGAUCAUCGAAGUUAAGCAAUGUCGAGCCUGAACAGUAUAUAGAUGGGUGGCCGCUUGGGAAAAGCACGUGCUGUAAG